AUUGAACGCUGGCGGCAGGCCUAACACAUGCAAGUCGAGCGGAUGAAGGGAGCUUGCUCCUGGAUUCAGCGGCGGACGGGUGAGUAAUGCCUAGGAAUCUGCCUGGUAGUGGGGGAUAACGUCCGGAAACGGGCGCUAAUACCGCAUACGUCCUGAGGGAGAAAGUGAGGGAUCUUCGGACCUCACGCUAUCAGAUGAGCCUAGGUCGGAUUAGCUAGUUGGUGGGGUAAAGGCCUACCAAGGCGACGAUCCGUAACUGGUCUGAGAGGAUGAUCAGUCACACUGGAGCUGAGACACGGUCCAGACUCCUACGGGAGGCAGCAGUGGGGAAUAUUGGACAAUGGGCGAAAGCCUGAUCCAGCCAUGCCGCGUGUGUGAAGAAGGUCUUCGGAUUGUAAAGCACUUUAAGUUGGGAGGAAGGGCAGUAAGUUAAUACCUUGCUGUUUUGACGUUACCAACAGAAUAAGCACCGGCUAACUUCGUG
rnacentral:rRNA from 1 species